GCUUGAAGUCCAAGGAAAAAAAGAGACAUUGUGAGGAGGAGAUUGUCGUAGAUCAAAGCGCUGAUGAAGUUUCUUUGAAAUUGAAAAGUUCUAAGUCUAAAACAAGAGGCUUCGUGAUAAAGAGAUUGUUGUAGAUGGAAGGCCAGAUGAAGUUGCUCUAAAAUUGAAAGUUUCAAAGUCCAAGGAAAACAAGACACAUUGUGAGGAGGAGAUUACUGAAGAUCGAAGCCCUGAUGAGGUUGUUCCGGAAAGUAGCAAAUAUACUCGUAUUCUCGAGUUAAGCCCAAAACUUCCGUUCUCACCGGCUUCACCCUUCCGUUUACCAGCUUCAUUGCCGUCGUCUUCCCUCCUUCUGCGUCGUUCUCUCCUUCCCCUGCGCCGUUCAACUUGCUGUUCGUCCUCCUCUUCAACCUGCUGCUCGUUCUCUUCUUCCCCUGCGUCGUUCAACUCAAACUAAUCAGUGUCGUUGCUCCGUGUUAACGCCGCCUUCCACGGAAGCCGCCCACGCCGCCGCCCACUCCUCCGCUCCUGGUCACUGUCUUCUCUCCUCUCCUAGACAGGGCAGUGACGUGUCUGUGAAGGAUCUUGACUACCUUUUGUCUCUACUUGAGGAAAAGAAGAGAAAGAUGGCCGGAGCAAGAUGAAGCUAGGGUUUGAAGCCAGUAAACUCGCUAAGAAUACAAGGAAAUGGUUAAGAUUGAAGCCAGUAAACUCGCUAAGAAGCAUCCACGUGUCUUGCAGAUGGAAUGAGCUACUAGGACGGUGGUUGACUGGUACUUUCAUUCCGGCAGAAAUAUUAAAAGUACAAGAGGUUGUGUCAAUGAGAUCAAUCAGUAUAUUUCGCAACAUAAUCAGCUUUUGUUGGAUCACAUAACUGACCUUUGGAGCUCUCUGAUGCCCAGUUUGUGUUCUGUGAUGUUUACCAAGGCUUCAUGCGUAUCUUGUCCAACCCUAAACACUAUGGCAUCAAGGAAACAAGAGGAGCAUGUUGUGGAAUAGGGUGGCAUGGAGCAGCAUCGGGGUGCGACACCAUGGAGAUGGUUUGCAACCAAAGUACAGCUCAUGUAAUCCUUCUGAGGCCGUCAAUUAUCUGCUGGCCGACUCUGCCUGGUUCGGUCAUCCAUUGGGUGACAUCUUUCAUCCCUUGAGCGUCCGAGCACUGGUGAACAUAGCUUCAGCAGCAGCAGCAGCAGCAGCAGGUGUUCUGGCAACAACAGUUAUCAAUUACAAGCUAGAAGCAGCAGCAGCAGUUCUGGCCGAAGUAGAAAGCAGCAAUUCUGGCAGCAGCCAGUUGAAACAAGAACAAAACCAAGCCAGCCUAAAGAGUGUUUAUUUUCACCAGUUGCUGGACUUUCUUGAAGUUCUCUGCCUUAACUGUGACUAUCACCGUUGGAUAGAGAUCUUCUGUCAUGAUAUCAGUGUGCAUAUUCCUCAUCAUAUCUCUCCUAAAAUUCUAAGUCACGCACACAAUCAAAAUAUCUACAACUAUGGCGAAACCAAGAAACACAAGCAGAUCCACAGUCACUUUAAUCUGGUCUUCUCAUCUG